UAUGGUUUACUGUGUGAACAUAGCCACAAG
rnacentral:piRNA from 1 species